rnacentral:rRNA from 1 species
UUAUCCUCAUAAGUUUGACAAUAAGAGAAACCAUAUAAAAUUUAAAUUAGCCAUAAUUUAAAUAGUUAUAUAGUAUAAUAAAAUCGGAGGCCACGACUGUUUACUAAAAACACAAUUCAGAGCAAUGAUUAAGAUAAUAGUAUUCUGGAUGAAAUUUGCUCAAUGCCAUUAAUAUAAGAGAGGUAAUUUUAAAGUUACUAAUCGAAAAUCUGGUUAAUAGCGGUCUUAACUAUGAGGAUCCUAAGGUAGCAAAAUAAAUUGGCCAUUAAAUGUGGUCUUGUAUCAAUAAUGUAACGAUGGUCUCACUGUCUCUACAACUUGCUCAGUGAAAUUGAAUUGCGAGUGCAGAUGCUCGCUAUCUUCAGGGGGACGGGAAGACCCUAU